AUUGAACGCUAGCGGGAUGCCUUACACAUGCAAGUCGAACGAGUGGCGGACGGGUGAGUAAUGUAUGGGAAACUGCCCGAUGGCGGGGGAUAACUACUCGAAAGAGUAGCUAAUACCGCAUACUAUCAGAUCUGCCCAUAUCGGAUUAGCUAGUUGGUGGGGUAACGGCUCACCAAGGCGACGAUCCCUAGCUGGUUUGAGAGGACGACCAGCCACACUGGAACUGAGACACGGCCCAGACUCCUACGGGAGGCAGCAGUGGGGAAUAUUGGACAAUGGGCGAAAGCCUGAUGCAGCCAUCCCGCGUGUAUGAAGAAGGCCUUCGGGUGGUAAAGUACUUUUGGCGGGGAGGCGGUAUCCGCAGAAUAAGCACCGGCUAACUACGUGCCAGCAGCCGCGGUAAUAC
rnacentral:rRNA from 1 species